rnacentral:rRNA from 1 species
UGAGGAAUCUUGCGCAAUGGGGGAAACCCUGACGCAGCAACGCCGUGUGAGUGAUGAAGGUUUUCGGAUCGUAAAGCUCUGUUUGAAGGGACGAAACGUAUUUGACUAAUACUCAAAUAACUUGACGGUACCUUCAGAGGAAGCACCGGCUAACUCCGUGCCAGCAGCCGCGGUAAUACGGAGGGUGCAAGCGUUGUGCGGAAUCACUGGGCGUAAAGGGCGUGUAGGUGGCUAAUUAAGUCAGGUGUGAAAUCCUUCCGCUUAACGGGAGAAGUGCACUUGAAACU